rnacentral:ncRNA from 1 species
AGGAGCCGUGUGAGAUGAAAGUCUCAUGCACGGUUUUGAAUGAGAGAAAGAAGUGAGGAAUCCUCGAACUUUUGUAGACUUUUUAAUUUUAAGACUUUUGUUGAUUUUCC